CCUGCCCCUAGAAGCAUUGCAUGUGUAGCUGCUAUGUUACAUGUUUGUCAGUAGGUGGCAGAGAGGAGAGAUGUUAUGCCUAUGCUCAGUGUUCAGACCUGUGAACAUCUGAAUGAUUUGUAGCCUAACAUU